AAUGUAUAAAAUCCCAGCAGAGCUCUUCCUGGACUAACUCUUUCCCCUGCUCACUGGUUGCUUUAAUCCUACUGAAGCAUGAUGCUCUACAAGAUUCUGGUGAUCUCUGUCCUGUGUGCUCUGGCUGUGGCUUUUCCCAGUUUGGACAUAGAAACCACCUAUGACCCACUAGACCCAUUCAGUGAAGAACCAUUAAAUUCAACUGUUGACUAUGAAGAACUACAGGAUUCAAUGAGUGGCCCACUAAAAACAGCCGGUAACCUACCACCACCAGUUGAGAAAGUGAUAAGAGCUCUAAAAAGUGACACAGACAAUGAUUUAACCACUGACUUUAACCCGACCUUGGACCUCACACCAACCACAGAAGCAUAUUAUGAAAGCACACAGAGUUUUGUGUCCUUUCCUGAUGCUGAGACAGACUCCCCCAGCUUUCUGGAAGAAUCCCAGUGAGGCCUCAGACCCGAUCCCUGCCUCCACUGGAAAUCUUAAAACAUAAGUCUGAGAUACUCCCAUCAAAGAAGAAAGAGCAAGAAAGAAGGGGUCCUGGAUGAAGACUGAUGUGUCAGGCAUUUAUGAGCUCUGCCCUUACCUUGUGUGGGCUUAAUAAAUAAAUGUUCAUUAGAA